UGGGGAAUAUUGGACAAUGGGGGCAACCCUGAUCCAGCAACGCCGCGUGGGGGAUGAAGGUCUUCGGAUCGUAAACCCCUGUUGGGAGGGACGAACGCUUCCGGGCGAACAGCUCGGAAGCUUGACGGUACCUCCAGAGGAAGCCCCGGCUAACUCUGUGCCAGCAGCCGCGGUAAUACAGAGGGGGCGAGCGUUAUUCGGAAUUAUUGGGCGUAAAGGGCGCGUAGGCGGCCGAGCAAGUCUUGGGUGAAAUCCCUCGGCUCAACCGAGGAACUGCCUUGGAUACUGCUUGGCUUGAGGCCGGGAGAGGAUGGUGGAAUUCCCAGUGUAGCGGUGAAAUGCGUAGAUAUUGGGAGGAACACCGGUGGCGAAGGCGGCCAUCUGGACCGGACCUGACGCUGAGGCGCGAAAGCGUGGGGAGCAAACAGG
rnacentral:rRNA from 1 species